AACACUGUUAACCUGCGGUACCUGCGGAAGGAUCAUUACAGAGUUGCAAAACUCCCUAAACCAUUGUGAACGUUACCUAAACCGUUGCUUCGGCGGGCGGCCCGGGUCCUUCCCGGCGCCCCUCGGCCCUCGCGGGCGCCCGCCGGAGGUAAACCAAACUAUUGCAUUGUAUGGCCUCUCUGAGUCUUCUGUACUGAAUAAGUCAAAACUUUCAACAACGGAUCUCAGAUCGGAAGAGCA
rnacentral:misc_RNA from 1 species